rnacentral:lncRNA from 1 species
UAUGCUAGGACAUGAGAAGACCUUCUUCUCUAGAUAUUUUUAAAUUUUCAGAUCUUAUGAUAUCAGAUUUUUCUCAUAGAAAAAUCUCAUGAUUUAUGGAGAAGAAGGGUUCUAAAAGAAAUCUUAAGAGAAAACCUUCUUUUCUUCUUCUUCUCUCAUCAGAACAUGAUCAGAUCAUGUCCAAAAUUAGAUCACCGUGCCCCAACUCAUUGGAGCAUGGAUCCACCAUGCCAUCCCUCUUUCUCUCUCAGAUUUUUAUCAUAUAAAAAUACAAAAAUAAAGAAAAAAUAGUAUGAAAGAAAAAUAAUGAGAGAAGACAAUCUUUCCUCUUACCUUUUUUCUCUACAAGACAUCAACUUUUGAUCUCUUGAUAGAAGACUCUCCUCCAAGGAUCUUGGAGCCUCAAACCACCCAUGCCAUCCUCUUUCUGAUCUACUUUUUCUUUAAAAAAACUAUAGAUUUUAGACUCCUAUAUCUUCUCAUAUGGGGCAGCACCAAUAUAAGAGGUAGAUAAGGUCAAGAGUCCUAGUUAAACAAGAAAUUUAUGGGGCGUCCAACUCUUGGAUGCCCCCUCCCUCAAAAAUUUCAUGGAGAGUAUGAAAAUAACCACAAAAGGGGCAACAAAAUG